rnacentral:rRNA from 1 species
UGGGGAAUAUUGCGCAAUGGGCGAAAGCCUGACGCAGCGACGCCGCGUGAGGGAUGAAGGUUUUCGGAUCGUAAACCUCUGUCAGAAGGGAAGAAACCGCACUGUGCUAAUCAGCAGUGCCUUGACGGUACCUUCAAAGGAAGCACCGGCUAACUCCGUGCCAGCAGCCGCGGUAAUACGGAGGGUGCAAGCGUUAAUCGGAAUUACUGGGCGUAAAGCGCACGUAGGCUGCUUUGUAAGUCAGGGGUGAAAUCCCACGGCUCAACCGUGGAACUGCCUUGUGGACUGCUUAGCUUGAAUCCGGGAGAGGGUGGCGGAAUUCCAGGUGUAGAAGUGAGAUCCGUAGAUAUCUGGAGGAACAUCAGUGGCGAAGGCGGCCACCUGGGCCGGUAUUGACGCUGAGGUGCGAAAGCGUGUGGAGCAAACAGG